rnacentral:rRNA from 1 species
CCUACGGGCGGCAGCAGUGGGGAAUCUUUGGCAAUGGGCGCAAGCCUGACCCAGCAACGCCGCGUGAAGGAAGGAGGCUUUCGGGUUGUAAACUUCUUUUCUCAGGGACGAAGCUAGUGACGGUACCUGAGGAAUAAGCCACGGCUAACUACGUGCCAGCAGCCGCGGUAAUACGUAGGUGGCAAGCGUUAUCCGGAUGUACUGGGUGUAAUGGGCGUGUAGGCGGGACUGCAAGUCAGCUGUGAAAACCAUGGGCUCAACCUAUGGCCUGCAUAUGAAACUGUAGUUCUUGAGUACUGGAGAGGCAGACGGAAUUCCUGGUGUAGCGGUGAAAUGCGUAGAUAUUAGGAGGAACACCAGUGGCGAAGGCGGUCUGCUGGACAGCAACUGACGCUGAGGCGCGAAAGCGUGGGGAGCAAAAAGGAUUAGAUACCCUGGUAGUC